rnacentral:lncRNA from 1 species
UACUCGUUUGAUGAUAUAUUCAAAUAUAGGCUUAAUAACCUAAUAGUUCUAUAUUUUGUAUCCAACCAAAGUUCAAUAAAAUAGUAAAUACGUAACAUAGUUAAAACAUUUUUUUGGGUGUAGCCAAUGUAAUGCAAUAUAGUGUGGAAUUAUGGUAAGCUUAUGGAAAUUUAUGCAAUAUAUUGUUUAGAAAUUUAUUAUCGUUCAUAAUAUUUUCUACCAAAAUCAAAAUAUCAUAAGUGAACUUAUCACAAUAAAUAUUUCUUUCAUAUUUACAUAAAAUUUAUUAAUUUUUGUUGGAGUUUCAUAUUGAGGAAGAGAGAAUUAGGAAUCAAUGUUGGAUAGAGUCUUCUGAUGGAAGGUAUAAGGGGUGUGUGUAUUGGGUUGGACAUGAGAUCCUCAUGAUGAUUGUGUUGAAAGUUACCUACAACAAACACAAAUAUGUUCAAUUCAAAAAAGUUGAUUCACAAAAGAUUAAUUAACUUAAACAACGACUUGCAAUAAGUGAGGAGAGGAUCUCCAAUAAUGAGAAACAUAUUCAUUGGAUGAGCUCCCACCUUCAUAUAUUUAUUGUUGUGGUCCUCUAGUACCUACCAUCUUCACCUUAGUAGAAUUAACAACACAAAAUAUUGCUUCCACAAACCAUAUCCCAAUAUACCAUACAACCCAGAGUAUCUCUUCAUUUAGGCAAGAAAAGUUCUUCCAUCCACCUGCUGUUGGGUACUCUAACUAACGAGUGAUUUGGUAAGGAUGAGAGGGGGCGUAAACACCAGAAAGUGGCAUGGAGACCAUGGUUCUUCACAGGACUACACAACGUUUUUCUUCUCUAACUUCCCACAUGGUUAUACGGAAACAGAUUUGCUCAAAGUGUUUCAAAGAUGGGCCAGAGUGAAAGAAGUGUUUGUCUCUCGAAGGUUGAAUAAAUGGGGGAAAAGGUUUGGCUUUGUGAGAUUUUUUGACGUUAGAAAUGUGAGAUGGCUGGAAAGUGAGCUUGACCAAAUAAUCGUUGGUAACCGGAAACUACAUGUUAACAUCCCGAAAUACCGUAGGCCUUAGGAGGAAAACGUAAGGUAUGGUAGAAGGGUUCUGAGAAACGUAGAUGUGGGGAAACGUAGGGAGGAAGGGAAGGAGCAACAAAAGGAAAACGGGUCUAAUACGGAGAAGAAUGGAAAUCAAGCAUGGGGGGAGAAUGGAAAACAAGUAUGGGUGGAGAAGCAAGGAAGUAGGUCUUUCGUUGAAGUGGUUACAGGGGCAAGCCAGGCAAGCUGGAAGGAACCUUUGGUCAAAUGUCUUCAACAAUCGAUACCAUGGAUGGUCAGAAGUAGCAUAGGCCAGUUUAAGGAAGAAUUAAGCUAUGACCAGGUGGAGGAGGAGUUCAUAAAAGGAGGCAUAAACCUGAUGCAAGUAAGGUUCUUAGGGGAUAAUUUUUCCUUGUUGACAGGGGUGGUUUUCGAAACGUUCUACUCGGAUAACCAGCAAUGGGUGGAUAGUGUUUUCGUCAGUAUUAAGCCGUGGACGCCAGAUUUUGUAGUGGACCAUAAACGUGUAUGGGUGAGGUGCUACGGGCUGCCUUUAGCCUUGUGGAAUAUGGAUGGGUUUACGAAGGUGGUGGGCAAAGAGGUAAAGCUGGUGUCUGUGGAUGAUGCUACGUUAUCCUGGGAGAACGUAGAGUUCGCUAGAUUUCAGGUGCGAACCCCUCUAAGUCAUAGUUUAAGGUGGGUGAAAAGUAUGAGGCUGAACGACAUGUGGUGUAGCAUUGUCAUGGAGGAGGAAGUUGUUACAGAUGGAAGAGGCAUGUGCAAGUGCAAUAGCUAUGAGUCAACGGUUAACGAAUCGUUGUCGAAGACAUACGUAGAAGAAUCUUCAUUAUCGGUUAAAAGUGGUGAGGAUGAGCUUCGCCAGUGGGAAGGGGAGUGCAUCCGUUCAUGGAAAGAGGAGGACGAAAGGGAAGCAAAGUCAAGGGGCUUUUUGGGAACAUCAUCUAAAGAGCAGUUUUUUAAGGAAUCAAAUGCAGAGUACAGAGAUGAGCAGGGGAAAAGCUGUCUUUGUUCAUGAAAGAAGUAAGUGAGAGAAGGACACAAAUGGAAGGUGCUGAAGUAAGCCUACUUACGGCUAUUGCGUGCGCCGAGAACUAUAACAGUAGUCUUAUACAUGCUGACCUGGCUAAAGUGGUAGUAGAUAUUGAAGUAUCUUCUUUAGCAUUUAAAAUUAACGGUCUGGGCCAAGUGGGAAAUCUGGAGGCCCAAACCGAGACCGAAAGGAAUCAAUCUCUCCCCACUUUUGAAGGUGGGCCAAGGCCCGAUAGGGAGUGUUGUGGGAAAAAUGAAGGAAAGGAAGGUUACGAGUGUGGGAUGCAGGGGGAAACAAAGGAGGCGCUCGUACGUGUUAACGACUGCAUUUCGCAGACUGAAGAGAAUUGGGAGGGAGCUACACGGUCAAUGAAAGGUGUGCAGCUUGAUAAGAAUGGGAAGUAUGGGUCAACGAAGAAAGGUGAGUACUAGAGGAAUGGAGAAGGCGUAGCGAUUGAAGGGGGAAACUACCCAAGAAGCCACUCGUAGCGAAUUACAGGCUUGUGGUCUCCUCCAAUCCGUCAGCGUAAAGAAAAAGGGCUCAUUGAUUUGGGGGAUUCAUCUCUACCCCAAAGGAGGCGGUCUGUAAGGUUACACGAGAAACAAGCUCGCUUCGCACUGUCCAAACAUCAACAUGAAGGUAAGAUCUCUGCCUCAAUCUCGGAUGGAGACAUUUAUAAUUGUAAUUCUCGGCUGUGCGAACAAGGCAAUGGGGCUGAACCAACAGUAUUGUGGGAGAUUGGAAAAACAUCAGGGAUUUUUUGUCAUGGGAUUGAAGAAGAAGUCAUUCAAGAAUAUAUGUGUAUGGAAGAGCGAGACAUGGGGGUUGCGAAACUGGCCAAGGAGGGGGAUAAGGAUGGGUUGUCAUGAUAAUAAUAAAUCUCAACAUAAGAGGAUUGGGGGGAGGUAUCAAAACUAGGUACUUGAAACACAUUAUAGCUAAAGAAGAUGCGGUUUUUCUCUGUUUGCAAGAAACUAAAGCGGUUCAAAUCUCAGAUGCGAGGUGUUUUUCGUUUUGGGGAGAUAACAAUGUUGGAUGGGUGCAUUACGAAGGGGAUAAUGGUGGGGGAAGUCUGCUAUCUAUGUGGCGCACAGAUGCAUUUAUUUAUGACAGCCAUACUGAGGGGAAGGGGUACAUAGCAGUGUCUGGGCAACAUGUGAAAGCUAAUUGCAGGUGUGUGGUGGUCAAUAUUUAUGUCGCCUGCUCCUUGAGGGAGAAGAAGGUUUUGUGGGGGGAGCUGUCACGCAUCAAAUCUGCAUCCAAUGAUCUAAUCUGGUGCCUCUGUGGCGACUUCAAUGCAGUAAGAAGUCACUGUGAAAGGAAAGGCACGGUGGAAAGGGGUUCUCAAUUAAGUGAAAUAAGAGAGUUCAACAGUUUCAUUGACGACAACUUACUGAUCGAGCUCCCUUUUGUCGGUAAGAAUUUUACUUGGUUCAAUUCCAAUGGGAAGGCGAAGAGUAGGCUUGACAAAGUACUGGUAUCGGAAGAGUGGAUGCAAAUGUGGCCUUUGUGCAAACAAUAUGUGCAACGUAGGGAAGUAUCCGACCACUGUGCACUAGUAGUGAAAUCUGUGGACAAGGAUUGGGGUCCUAAACCCUUCAGAACUAUAGAUGCCUGGUUAGCAGAGAAAGGAUUUAUUGAAAUGGUGAAGGAUAGAUGGACUUCAUACAUAGUACAAGGGAGUAGUUUCACGAAGGUUAAAGACAAAUUGAAACGGUUGAAGGGAGAUUUAAAAGUAUGGAACAGGAACAUCUUCGACAAUUUGGAGACGAUUAAAAAGAGGAUCCUUCAAGAGAUAGAGGAUUAUGAUUAUCAAGAUUGAAUUGAUAAUCUGUUGGGUUGUGAUAGAAUGAAGAGGAUCGAGUUAGUAGGCCAGCUGAAGGAGGUUGAUAAUAAAAUUGAGUCUCUUAUGCGCCAGAAGACUAGAGUUAGCUGGUUGAAGAAUGGGGACUCCUGCACGAAAUUCUUUUACUCAUCACUGAGAUGGAGAAGAAGUAGGAAUGAGGUGAAGGCAGUGGAGAUAGGAGGAUUGUGGUGUGAGGAGCCUAGUACAGUUCGUAAUGAAGCAAGAAGGUGGUUUGAAAACAGAUUUAGAGCAACAAAAGAUUUACGGGUAAGAUUCGAUGCAGUUGAGUUUAAGUCUUUAUCCUUGUAAGAUAAUUUGAGGCUGAUAAAGGGAUUCUCUGAGGCAGAAGUAAGGGAUGCUGUGUGGCAAUGCAAAGGAUCAAAAAGUCCUGGACCUGAUGGGUUUAACUUCAAUUUUUUGAAGAAUGGUUGGGAGGUUGUGAAGGAAGAUCUUAUGGAAGUGAUGAAUUUGUUUCAUGAAACAGGUUUUAUUCCCAAGGGGUGCAAUGCGUCGUUCAUUGCACUAGUUCCUAAAGUUAGGAACCCUGUUUCUCUUGACCAUUUUAGACCUAUUUCACUUGUUGGUGCUAUGUAUAAAAUUAUAUCCAAAGUGUUAGCUGAAAGGGUCAAGAAAGUGUUGCCCAUGGUUAUUGAUGAUUGUCAGUCGGCUUUUCUAAAGAAUAGGAGGAUCUUAGACAGUGUCCUAAUGGCUAAUGAGGUGAUUGAGGACAUCAGACGACGGAGACAAAGUGGGUUAUGUCUAAAGGUGGACUUUGAAAAAGCUUAUGAUUCGGUGAGAUGGGAAUUCCUCUAUGACAUGAUGCGUAAGAUGGGGUUUCAUAUGAAGUGGAUUAGUUGGAUCCAGGGUUGUCUGGAAAGUGCUUCUAUCUCUGUGUUGGUGAACGGGAGCCCAACAGAUGAAUUUAAACCGGAGAGAGGUCUGAGGCAGGGAGACCCUCUGGCCCCGUUUCUCUUCUUGAUUGUAGCGGAAGGCUUGACUGGGUUGGUAAGGCAAGCUGUAAAGGGUAACUUAUUAUCCGGUUUGAGGAUCAGGAGGAAAGAGGUUGAGAUAAGUAUUCUACAGUUCGCUGAUGACACAUUAUUCUUCUGUAAGGAUUCUUUCAGCAAUGUAGUAACUUUAAAGGCUAUUCUCAGGGGUUUUGAGAUAGCUUCUGGCCUCAAGAUCAACUUCCACAAAUCAAAGAUUGCAGGCAUCAAUGUACAUAAGAAUAAUAUCCUUUGCUAUAUGAAGACCUUGAAUUGUGCGAAGAUGACAGUUCCUUUUAAGUACCUAGGACUUGAGGUGGGAGGCAAUCCGAGGAGGAAGAAGUUUUGGGAGCCAGUCAUUGAUAAGUUGGAAGCUAGACUAAGCACAUGGAGAGGGAGGUUUUUAUAAAUGGCAGGAAGACUCUGUAUUAUUAAAUCUGUGCUCACGGCGGUACCCCUGUACUAUCUAUCUAUUUUCAGAGCACCGGAAUCGGUCUGUAAGAACAUUAACAGUAUUCAAAGAAGGUUUCUGUGGGGAUGGGGGAAGGAGAAGAAGCCCAUCUCAUGGGUCAGUUGGAAGAAUGUGUGCAAAUCAAAACAGGAAGGAGGACUGGGGAUUUUAGAUGUACGUGAUUUCAAUCAUGCUUUGCUGGCUAAGUGGAAAUGGCGACGACUCUCGGAUGAAAAAGGACGAUGGAAGGACAUUUUGGAGUUGAAAUAUGGAGAUGAAAAUGAGGGGUUGCAAUUACCAAUUAGGAUGCAAUCCUGGUGGUGGAGGGAUCUCCGCAAAGUAUGCAUGCAGGGUGGAGGACAAGGUUGGUUCCAAGCAUAAAUGAGUUGGAGGAUAGGAUGUGGUGAUAGAAUAAAAUUUUGGGAAGAUGUAUGGAUCGGGAAUACCAACCUCAAAUCUGAGUUUCCCAGGCUGUACUCCAUAUCGUGCAAUCAGACUCAAACAAUGGAAGAGGUAGGCGGAUGGGAAGGGGAUGUAUGGAGAUGGAACUUAAGGUGGAGGCGGGCUAGAUUUGAGUGGGAAGCAGUAUUGGAGAAGGACCUAUAUUCUCAUAUAUCUAGGACUGUUAUUAGAAGGCAUGAGCAAGACAUUCGGGUGUGGAGGGUUAAUAAUAAGGGGUGUUUCUCAGUGAAAUCAGCUUACGAGAGCAUAAGAGGCGAAGGCACUAGUAUUGGGGUCUUUGAUCUCCUUUAGAAGGCCAAGGCCUUUCCCUCUGUUCUGAUUACUGCAUGGAGGUCCAUACUGGAUAGACUACCAACUAGAGAAUGUUUGAGUAGGAGGGGGGUGAUGAUGGAAUCCACAUCAUGUGUGUUUUGCCUCUCUAAAGUGGAAUCCAGCCAACAUUUAUUGUUGGAAUGUGAGGUGGUGGUGCGCGUGUGGGACCUGUGUCAUAGAUGGAUUAACAUACUCUCUGUUCAACAUAACGUACUGCAUAAUCACUUUGAAAGUUUCUCUCUAACUCAGGUCAGUAACAAACAAGAGAUGGUUUGGAAAGGCAUAUGGGCUUCCAUAGUGAGGAGUGUAUGGGAACAUAGGAACUUGGUAGUGUUCAAGCAAGGAGUUGUAGAUGCUGAAGACAUUUUCCAGCAAGCCCAACUGAAAUCUUGGUUAUGGAUGAAGUAUAGGGUACCCAGGUUCAAUUACUCGUUUGUGGAGUGGGUCCUGAAUCCUUUGCUCUGUAUUAAGAGCUAUAAGUAAAGGAUCAUCAGGGAGUAAUCCGGUUCAGGAAAGGUCGAAGGGUAUACUGAAGAAUGGACUGUUUGUAGGAUGUGCAGCAGCUGGGCGCAUCGGUUGUUGGCAGGUACUAUGUUGAUUGGAGGUGUUGUUUAUGGGCGUUGUGGUGAAACGACAUUGGCCUGUUUUGAUGAGGGUGCUGCAGUGGCUGAGUUCGGUACAAGAUGGAAUCAUGGAGUUUUCCAGGUGCAGGUUUGGAUUGGUAUGCUGCAGAUAUGGAAUGGAAUGGUGCAAGGAUAGUAGGCGUGUCAUACUCAUCCAAUGCUAUAUACCAUAACAGGGAAUGAUAAUAGGUGCACUCUUUGCUGAUGGGAACUUAGAUUUUUCAUGGAUGUUUUAUUGGAUACGAAGGUAUGUAGCUGUGUGCAGAUAUUGGUUUCUGUUUUUUGUUGUCUUGGCUAGGUCCAUAUCUAUUGGUGGCGUCGUUUUAGGAAUGAUUGGAAGAGAGGGACCGUGUCUACCUACGUUGCUGAAGGCCAAUGGACUUUAUGCAGAUAAAGGUUUUGGUUGGAAGAAGUCUUUUAUAGCUAUGUCUCUAAGUUUUUUACAGUUUCACCUGUGUCCCUAGCUAUAAGUGCUUUUUGUAUAUGGGUUGGGACACCCCUUAAGUGUCCCGUUUUUAAUUUAAUUAAUUCUUUGCUGAUAAAAAAAAAACACAAAAUAUUACUAACUAACUAGAUAAGUUACCAAUAACAAAAUCAGGAGAAUGAAAAGUACAAUGUGAUAAAAAAUGUAAUCCACCUCAUGAUAACAAUGAUUAUUAGUUUGUUAAGAAAAUUGUAUUAUACGUGUUACUUAAAAAUUGGUACAAGGCCAUCAAUAACAAUAACAACAUGCUUAGAUAUGUUUACUGUGGUUGUAUUUCUUUUAUUAUGUUGAAAUAUUUCUCUGAAUUAUAUGUUUCAACUUUAUUAUAUGUCAUAUUAGUUAAUAUCAUUUUAUUUAUUGUACUACUAUUUAUAUAAUUGUGUUAGCAUAUGAAUAUCAAGGAAUUUGUAAGAGAUCACUACCUACAUUUUAAUGCUAUAAAAAAAAGGCAAUUAUCUAUGAAAUUACAUACAAAAUUAUCCACAUAUAUGUAAUUAACUAUGGAUGAAUUCAUAAGUAUUUAUGUAUGAAUCCCCAUACAUAAUUAUCCAGAAAUUCAUUUGUACAUAAAUACCUAUGGAUCCAUUUGUUCGUAAUUACCUACAAACCCACGGAUACAUAAUUAUCUGCUGCAGAGACAUCCGUGCGUACUUAUAUACAAAUGCUAGCUAUGAAUAUCAUCAUGCGAGAUUAUCUGCGCUAGAAGAAAAUCAUGAAAUAAAAGUUAAUUUUUAGAGAGAAAAAAUAAUUAAUUGCUAUAGUGACUAAAUUAAAAGCUAUUUUAGAGACUACAAAAAUUUUGGUUUCUAAAUUAGUUUCUAUUUUUGUUAAAUGAUUUUUAAAUUGGUAUCUAAUAAACUACCAAAUUUAGAAUCUAAAUAAUUGGUAGUUAAAACCUUAGUAGCUAAUUAGAUAUCAAUUUAGAAACUAUUUAACAAUAAUAGAAACUAAUUUAGAAAUCAUUUUUUUUUAAUUUUUAAAAUGGUAUCUAGUUUAGUCACUAUAACAACUAAUUAUUUUUUAUCUCUAAAAUUGAUUUUUAUUUCAUGAUUUUCUUGUAAUGUUCGAAGAAUCUAUAAAUAAUUGUUACCUACAAGGACUUACUUAUGAUGACCCUAAAUUAUCUAUAGGUAACUUUGAUUUAGUAUGAAUUCCUUGUAUUAAUUAUCUACAAAUUUCACAGUACGUAAGAAUGAUUUUUCUUAUAGUGUAAAAUCAUUUUAUAUUUUAGUCAUAGAUAAUAAUUGACAAUUAUUUUAAAGAAUAACUUACUUAUCCUCUUUUUAUCAAUACUUGGCAUAUAAAUCAAUACUUGGCAUAUAAAUGAAGAAAGUUAAGUUAUAAUAUUUGCUUUAGACUUUAAUUUGUUGUGGCAUUUAUGAAGGUGCUUAAAAUAAGCUUGUGAAUAUGGAAGAAAUCAUUUAUAUUCCUGUUACUAGGAAAAAAUCUAGUUUUGUCAAACUACUCACUUUUACACUGUUCUAAUUCAUUAAAAAUCCAUUUAUCUAAAUUCAAUUUUUAAUUUGAUCCACAUUUUAUUAUAUUUUCAUAUCAGAUAUCCAUUUUGUUUAUAUAAAUUUUAGAAAUCGGAAAAUCCAAAUUUCCAAUCCAAAUUUUUGAAAGAGACUCUCACUUUAGUGCUCUCUCCAGUUUUUUGUAAUUUUAUUUGCUCUCACACACACUCAUGAAGCAAUAAAGUCUUAUACAUUUUUUUUUAUAAUUUUAUUUGCUCCAAUAUUUUAUACAUAAUAAAUUAAUAUAAUAUUUUCAAAUUUUAAUUAAAGUAUUAUAGGUAGGUGUAUUUUAAUGUUAAGAAUGUAUAUGUUAUGUUUAAUUUAUUUUAGUAUUAUUAAAUUAUAAUUUUAUUAUAUUUUCUUAAUAUUUAUAAUAUUCAACUCUUUUACAUGUUAUUAUAUUAAUAUAUUAAUAUUAUUUUAAUUUUAAAAAAAAUACAUGGAUUUUGAUUUAAAAUACAAUUUACAUUAUUUUUUUUAUAAAAAUAUGGAUUUGGAUAUAAAAUCUAAUUUGGAUUUGAAUUUUCAAAUUGUUUUUAUAAAAAAUAUGGAUUUGGAUUAUAAAUCUGAUUCAAAUAUUUGAAUUUUUUACUCUUCUUUUUUCACAAACAAUUUUUUUUUUCUUCACUUAAAUACGGUAUAGAUUUUCAGUUGUCUUCACGUAUAUACACUUGAGAGGGACCAUAUACAAAAUAUUAUAUACCAAAAAAAUUUAUCAAAAAAUAUAUUUAAAUUUAAAAAAUAUUCUAAGUAAAAUAUAAAUUCAAUGGUUGAUUUUUUACACUCAUUACUUUAGCAAUAACAUAAAAAAAAAUCACCAUUGUUUGUAAUUGUAUAUAAUUAUUUUUUCUGUAUCACUAAUAUUGACUAUCUGUAAUUUUAAUUUUUAGUAUUAUUAAAUUAUUAUUUUAUUAUAUUUUCUUAAUAUUUAUAUGAUAUUAAUUUUUUUUACAUAUUUUUAUAUUAAUAUUGUUAGUUUUUUUAGAAAAUAUAAAUUUAGUUUUAAAAUUCAAUUAAUUCUUUUUAUAAAAAUAUGGAUUUGAAUUUGAUUUGAAUUGGAUUUGGAUUUAUAAAAAUCCAAAUUGAUUUUAUAAAAAAAUAUGGAUUUAGAUUUAAAAUCCAAUCCAAAUAUUUGGAUAUGAAUCAUCUAAAAAUCCAAAUUAAUUUGAUAAAAAAUAUAGAUAUGGAUUUAAAAUCUAUUCCAAAUAUUUGGAUUUGGAUUUGAAUUGGACAAAUAACCACACAAAAGCAAAGUUGGUAGUUUUGAGCUCAACUUUUAAUGUAUAACUCUUUCUAUUUGUCAUUUCCUUCUAGUGUCAAUUCUAUCUUGACACUAUAUAAACCAAUUAUAUAAUAGAGAAAAAACUAAUUUUUUCUAUUUGAAAAGUAGAGUUCAUAGAAGUCAAAUAAAAUAAAUUAAACUAAACAAUUUACCUUAUAGCUGGUUCUCACAAGGUUCAUUAUAACAUGUGGGUGACACAACUGCAUAUCUCAUUGUAGAGCCAUACUUAAGAGUGAUUAGGGUUUUGGUAGCAAAAUGAGGAAAAUCAACAGAAUAGAAGUUUCAAACUAUGUUCAGUCAUGACUUCAAAUUGAGAAUGGUCAACAUUUUACGAAGAAAGGUGAGGAUUGAAAUUCAAAAUUGUGAAGGUAAUGCAUAUGUGGAACGAAAUUCAUAAUGGUAAAGUGAAAUUCUUUUGGAAAAAAAAAAUUAUAUAUGGACAAAGACCUUUAAUUUCUUUUAAAAGAAUAAUUUGUGUGGAAAUGGGCAAAAUACACACGAAGGAAGUAUUUAAGACUUUUUAAUAUAUUCGUAAUUUGACGUCUGAAGGUAUAUCGUCUGAUGUAGUUUUUGGCUUUACAUACACAAUGGAAAAAUAAAAAACUUCUAAAUGUAUAAUGCACUUAAUUAUUACAACAUAACCAAUGGAAAAAAUAAAAAAACUUCCAAAUGUAUAAUUACUUAAUUUUAUUACAACAUAACCAUUAAUUAUUACAACGAUGGAAAAAAUAAAAAGAAACUUCUAAAUCUACAAUGUAGUUAACUAUUAUAAGAUAAUCAAUGAAAAAAAAUUAAAAAUGCACUUUCCUAAAUUAUUCUUUAAACAAUAAUAAGUUUCUUUUCUUUCCUGUGGUAUAGAAAAAGUGAAAAAUAUGACCGCUUUCUGACCGUGGUUGUUCAGCGUGUAGUAUUUUCUCCUCAAACAAAUAAGGUGACUAUUUAAUUGUCAUGUUAUAUUUAAACAAAGAAGGCUGUUAUAGUAAAAGUGGUCGUUUAUAACUUGUCCAUAACUUGUAUAUAUAAUACAUGCAUGAGGUGUAAAAAUACAAUUUCCUAAAUCAUUAUUUAAACGGUAAUAAGUUUCUUUCCUUCCCAAUUAUUACUUCUUUUAUUAAUUACUUUUCCUUUUAUUCAGAUUUUCAUUACUUGUUAUAAGAAAAUUUUAAUAUUCACAUCCUAUUAAAUCAGUUUUAGUCAAAUUGAAAUGAUAAAUCCUAUUAAAUUAGUUUAAGUCAAAAUGAUAAACCCUAUUAAAUCAAUUUUAGUAAAAUUGAAAUGAGCGUAUAUCAAUUUUGUACACGCACAAUAGCUUUCUUCUUCUCCAUUUUCACGCACAUAAAGCUUUAAAGGUGUUCCAUUACACUUAAAAAAAAAUUAUGUUUAUAGUAAAAUGAUUCAGAUAAACACAACAACAAUCACAUAAACAACAGUAAUCACAAAACAAAUUAAUCAAAAACUCAGAAAUUUUAAAAGUUUACCUCGGAAGAAUUACAUCGGAGCAGUGAUGGUGAAGGCACUGACAGCUGAACAUGGUGGAGUAGCGACAGUGAAGGC